rnacentral:lncRNA from 1 species
AUCCUGACAACAUUAGAAUGACACUAAGCAAGUUUAUAUUUGAUAAUGAGAGAGAGAAAUAGCCUAAAAGUACUUAUACCCGAAAUUAAUUCUCAGAUAUACAUUCAUCUUCAUUUCUGUUUCAUGCUCUUCCUUUCCGAAAUUGCUCAUGUUUUCACUCUUCCAUAAUUACCAAAAUCACAAAACUCCACCACAUUUUUCCAAGGAACUGAAAUUACAAGCUGGAAUUGAAGAAGAAUUGGAGAAACUCUUACCAAAGAGAGGAAUCAAAAUCAAGUUUGAAGUAUUAAAGAAAUUCAAUCAAAACACCCAACAAAGAGGUAUCUAACCUUUACCUGUCAAAUUCAUGGAAAUUAGAGUAUUAGUGUCUUAUAGUUAGUAAAUUGCUGUGUUCGAAUAUGUUAAUGGGUGUGAUGAAGAUGUUUCAUGAAUUCUGGAACAAUAAGAAAGAAUUUCCACGAAAUUCUUGGUUAAGAGAGUUAUAACUAAAAGCUUGUGAAAUUAUGGAAUUAAGCCAUGCCUUCUAGAUGUUUGAGAAAUUACCUCAAAGAGGUUAAAGUGUACAAAACUGAACAAGCCAAGUAAAAUAAAGGAAAGAUAGAACAAGCAUAUAUUGUGUAAUUAAAAUAUGUUUUUUUUUGUGCAACAGAAGUUAUGGUAUGUUGACUUCAUCAGCGGCAUUAAGUGGAACCCAUCAAGAAUAAAAAAAAACUGAAUUCAUGUUGUUAUUAUAAUUUCUAGCAUCCUGCUAGAAGUUAGAAAAAUAUAAUAACUAAAGUGUAUUUAAAUGCAAGAUAAUAUGACAUUUGGAGUGAAGAUAUUGUGGAAAUUUUGUCACCCUCAAUUUGGGAUAAUUCUAAAUAUGAUGGGCCAUCAGCCAUCUUGGGAUUGAUUAUAUAAGAUGUAAACUAGGCAUAAGUAUUAUAUAAUCAAGACCCUGAAUGGACCUGGGAAGUUUAGUGAUGAGUUAGAUAUGGAAUAUAGAGGUUAGAGAACUUGAGUGCUAAUAAAUGGUUACACAAAUUGGCUAAAUUUAAGAAAGCUCAAGGUCUUUCAAGUAAACACUAGAAUAAGAAUUAGUUAGUUGAAAAAAAAACAAACUUAGGACUAACAUGCGCCAAACUGUUGAAAGCAUCAAGUAGCUCAAUAUUCACUAUUACUAAAUCAGGUUGAUCAGGAGAAGUACACACAAAUAGAACAAGCUGAAGUAAUUUUGAAUAUAUGGUGAAACACGUCAUGAAUCUAAGUGAACUACAUGAUUGCAAAUUUAUUUGUUAUGCCUUGAUGAAAGGAAACUGGAAGAAAUUCGUUGAUGCCAUUGAAUUUCGGUAAUGAAUUAAAAAGAAUAUUGAUCUUCAAAUGCAAUUGAUGCGUCUGAACAGAGGAAUGGCUGUUUGACAAAGUUAUAUAUGAAAUUUGUUAAGGCAAGUGCCCAUCUUAGUUUUCAUGUGAACCAUAUAUAGUUUACUCGAAUAGACAUGAGAAAGGUUUGGUCAUAUUAUAAGCUACUUCCUCUUCCUUGGGUCUUGAUAAAUUUUCAGUUCCUAACAAAGUAGUAAAUUGAUGAACACUACUUGAUCUUGGGUUCUGAUAUGAAAAGCUAAAUUGUUAAAUAAAUAUUACUUAUUUAGCAAACCAUGGAACCCAAUAUGUGGGUAUAUUGAUUAUUUAUGUUAUGUAUGAGCUAAGGAAGGACGUAGUAAGGUUAUUAAUAUAUAUACCAAUAAUCUAAAUUUAUGAGGUGUAAAGAUAAUAGAUUAUUUAACAUAAUUACAUUUAUGUUAAAUCUUAUUCAUGAUCUAUGUUAUUAUUAACAAAUUUAAUAAAAUUAGUAAGCUAACAAAUGAGUUAGUAAGUUUGAGUCAAAGUUCAUAGAAAUGUGAGCUUUAAGUUAAAAUUUUUGUGAGGUAUAUGUAUUCAUUGGGUUGUAUGGAUUAGUGAAACAAAAUGGGUGUGAUAUAUAUAACUUGAAUUUAAGUAUAAAUUCAUGAAAAACGAGUGGGUUGGUUUAUCAAACUAGUAAAAGCUAAUAAGAUUUAUAUUCCAUACAUAUGUAGCAAAAUUAUUAAAAAUAAGAGAAGUUAAGAAUGGAAUAUUAGAAUUGUAAAACACAAGUUUAAAUAGAAUUUGUAGAAUAUGAUAAUGUUAUUACAUUGUAAUAACAUUAUGUGUAUAUUGGUGCUAUGCAGGAGCAUAAUACUUCGAAUACGUGUAAUCGCGUAAAAUUAAUAGCUUCGCAUCAAAGAGGCAAGUCUUUCAGUUCCUAUUUGUUAUAUGAACUUGACAUGAUUACAUGGAUUACAUGUUAUACUUGUGGAAUGAUGAAGGUCAACUAUUUACUAAAUUUGAUUGAGUUUUUAAAACUCAGUCUUGACUUGAUAUUUGAUAUGCAUGAGAUACAAAUAUUACUUAAAUUGUAAUAAUGUUGAUAUAUGAUUUAAGCAUGAUAUUAUGUGUUAUGUGAAGCAUGAAAACUGCUAGAUUUGUUGGGUUGUUGUGCUCAAUCUUGCAAACAUUUUUGCAGAUUUGAUAUGCGAUGAGAUAUCUUGCUGACCAGAUAAUAAAGACUAGGAGCAUGUUCAGGAAAAUUGUUUUCUUUAUUUAGAAUUUGUAUUACACUGUGUUGACAGUUUGCGAAGUUAUAAAUGAGAGAGAUGUAAAUAUUAGAUUAUUUAAUCAAUAAAGGAAGUUUGUUUUGAGAAAAGAAUGUGUAGUGACAAUUACUAUUUAUUGAAAGU